rnacentral:rRNA from 1 species
UACGUAGGGUCGCGACGUUGUCCGGAAUUUAUGGUGCGUAAAGAGCUCGUAGGCGGUCUGUCGCGUCGAUCGUGAAAACUUGGGGCUUAACCCUGAGCUUGCGGUCGAUACGGGCAUGACUGGAGUUCGGCAGGGGAGACUGGAAUUCCUGGUGUAGCGGUGAAAUGCGCAGAUAUCAGGAGGAACACCGGUGGCGAAGGCGGGUCUCUGGGCCGAUACUGACGCUGAGGAGCGAAAGCGUGGGGAGCGAACAGG